CACCCAUCAAGCCCCCGGCUUGUGUUGGGGACCUGCGGCUGCCGCAGGCCCUGAAAACCAGUGGCGGGCUCGCUGUCACACCGAGCGUAGUAAUAUCAUCUCGCUCAGGGCGUGCUGCGGGUUCCGGCCGUUAAACGACCUUUCUAACCCAAGG
rnacentral:misc_RNA from 1 species